CAUGUCCUUAGGUUUUUUAGUGCCUUGAAGUGUAUUAUUUAUUCUCUUAUAAGAAAUAAUUUGUAAUAAUAAUGAGUUAAAAAACGUGUUUUUAUAAAUAAACGUUCUCGUGACUGACACUAAUUUGAUAACAGGUGGCAUUAUCGAUGCGCUGACAGAUUCGUGUUUAGCCACACGUAGAAUCACGUGUUAGUUGUUUUCAUAUUCUCUGCUCUAUCCUUAGAGGAAAAAAUGUUGAUUCUUUUAAUUCGGGUUAUUUUUACAAUUUUUAUUUUAAUAACUUCUCAACCGGGAUCGAGUUUAUUUUCGUGGCAUCCCACUUGCAUGAUUCUUGCUGCCUACUGAAAAUUGCAAGAGAUGAAAAAUCUUAUUAUUUUAAUGAACAUGUUCGUUGUCCGCAGAAAAAUAUUUAUAAUGCAAUAACGAUUUCGAAGCAUUCCAAUUUAAAACAUUAUGGAAUUAUUUAUCGUCAAUUAGGAUUCAAAACAUUACAUUCACCAAUUGUAGCAGUAAUUGAUAUAUGUUGAAUCUGAUUGAUGUUAUACGGGAGAAUUAAUCCCCUGCGGAGUGGCGAAAGCCGCCACCCGCAUCCGCAAUAAUUGUCUAUAAUGUAUACUGUAUAUUGAACUUGCCCUGGGGCUGUCCGGAUAUCCGACGGCAGCCCCGGAACAUUCUGUGGUGGAAAUAAGAUCGGUUCGGGUCACUAGAAAGGUCUGUCCUAGACGGUCAACCCGACACCAUCCCUCGACUUUGACCGGGAGAUGCUGAUGGAACUGUGAAACCUGCGCUCGUAUUUUAGCCCGUUAUUUCCUUUCUCUUGACAUUUUAGAAUGUUAACGAUCGAACGCGAUGUUUUCUGUUUAUCAAACCUCUUUUUCCCGAUUCAGUUUAACUUCGAUCAAUUCUAUACGAACGUUAGUGUCAAAGUUCGAACUCUCCGGCUCGACACUGAUGUAUUGUUUAACACGUGUCUGAGUCGCACUAGGGACUCGCUUGUUUACUUUCUUGUCGCGUUAUUUUCAUUACGAUUUCUUCAGUUCAAUCUUUUGACAUUUUUAUAAAAUUAAUAACGAAUUCAGACUUGGUCUGGAACCUCACAAUAAAAAAAAAUCUUUUACAUCCAGAAGACCGACAACAGAUUGAUUUUACUACAGAAAAAAUUCGUGGAUUACAAUUUACCAGUAAUUUACAUAAUUAUUUAAUUAAUAUUAAGGAAAGGAAUUCAAGUUAUUAAGAGAAACAUUUUGUAUAAUAACAACGGUUUAUUUAUAGGAAAAAGCUACUUCCUCUUAUUAUUUAAAAGUAAAUAUAAUAAAAUGUUCAUAAAUUAAAUUUUCGUACUUUUCAUAUUAGCAAGAUAUUAAUUAAAUAUUUUAAAAAUAUAUCAAGAAGUCAUAAUUUUUAAUUUAAAAAAAGAAAAAGUUUGCAUCAAUCUUCAGACGAUUUUCAUCGAUCAUUCACAAAAGGAAUUGUCUCCACCGUAUGUCGAACGGUAUUAUACGCGGGAUUUGAAUGGUAUAAUUUAUUAUUGGAGUUUAGACUUUAGAGAGAGGGAAAAAAGAUAAGAGAAAAGAGAUAAAAAAAAAAAAAUAAAGAGAGAACGCGCCCAAUAAAUUCAUAAAUUUCAAAAUCUCCGUGGUUCCCAAAGUGGGCGCUACCACCCCCUGUGGGCAGUAAGUAAAUCUAGGAGGCGAGAGUUGCAUAAUAAAACCUUUCCCUUUCCUUUGUUAAAACAGGUACGAAGAAACAUUGUGUUUAAUGGUGUCCAGAUGUGUAGAACAAUGUACGGAAGUGUGAGGUUCAUAGAAAGUUUUUCUAAGAAUAUUUUCAAGCCUUUCUCACAAGGAAAAAUGAGUUAGGGGCGUUGGGUUUAUGGAACCAAGGGGGGUGUUGGCUCGAAAAUGUUUGGGAAUCACUGCAAUAUCUACUGUCAGUAAUCAGAGUAAACAAACGUCUUGAACAAGAACACCCACAUGUGGUCAAGCGGAAGGAAAUUGUGAGGCUCUAGACAGGUCCGAACCCUCACUAAAAUUUGCGGAAAAAAUUGUUUUAAAGAAAAUAAUAUAGUAGUUAGAAA